rnacentral:rRNA from 1 species
GACGAACGCUGGCGGCGUGCUUAACACAUGCAAGUCGAACGAAGUGGCGAACGGGUGAGUAACGCGUAAUCAACCUGCCCUUCAGAGGGGGACAACAGUUGGAAACGACUGCUAAUACCGCAUACUGAAGGAGGGGAUUGCGUCUGAUUCGCUAGUUGGAGGGGUAACGGCACACCAAGGCGAUGAUCAGUAGCCGGGCUGAGAGGAUGAACGGCCACAUGGGGACUGAGACAAGGCCCAGACUGCUACGGGAGGAAGCAGUGGGGAAUCUUCCGAAAUGGAAGAAAGUCUGACGGAGAAACGCCGCGGGAGUGAGGACGGCCUUCGGGUUGUAAAGCUCUGUUAAUCGGGACGCGGUACCGGAAUAGAAAGCCACGACUAACUACGUGCCAGCAGCCGCGGUAAUUC